CUCUAUGGCCAUGCUACCCCGAACAAGCCCGAUCUCAUCAGAUCUCAGAAGCCUGGUCGGUCCUGGUUAGUACUUGGAUGGGAGACCACCUAGGAAGAACAGGUGCUGUAGGUG
rnacentral:rRNA from 1 species